CGUUGUGCCACCGGGCGGCGCUUUCGCUCUUAUCCCUUCGGCUGCCAUUCUCUUCGUUUGCUCCUGCUGCUUUCUGUGCACGUGCACGUUUUUUCGUAUGCUCUGCAGUUAAAAACUUUCUUUCUGUGCCUUCGAAUGUUCCAGCCAUGUCGGAAAAACUGAGGAGAGGAUAGAAAGCUUGCUGCGCGACUGUGUGAUGUGGUAACUCGGGGAGCAACACAAGGGCGAAAUUUUCCCUGUUUCCCAGCGGACCACAGGUGUGACAUAUGGCGAAAUUGUGCUAAAUGGGAAGUCGUGACGGGGCUGACAUGGGAGCAUAUGUAUAACGGCUACGGCCUCUGCUCGAACCACUUCAUAGGAAUUAAGGGACUACGCCGACCCUGUCGUGGUCGGCUGUGCCGACUGUUGAAGUGGAAGAGCGGACCCUGAUCGAUGAAGGUUCUACACCAUCGCAGCGAGGCCAAAAGCGGAAAAUAUACUUACUCACCGGAGACCGCGGGCGUCAUCAACCGACUGAGAGAUGAUACACAAUUAAAUGUAUCGCAAGUCAGCGAAGUUAAAGAGCUGCCGAAAUGUUACCACGAGGGAAGCACUAGAGAAGUUAACGCAUCAUGUGAGCCCAGAGUUCUACCAACUCUUGCAGUGCCAGGUGACGCUCUAUUAUCGCAAGAGGAAGAGAAGGACAUAAAGAAAUGUUUUCUGGAGCACGUCGGUGUGGUCGCGCACUUCUGCGGUGUGCCCACUGUACUGAAAGAUAAGCUAAACAUCAGUCUAUUAUAAGAACUUUUUUGCUCUAAUGAGGGUCGCAUAGACCUGCUGCAGUAGUUCUGCUAUGCGUGGCUUAUGCUGCACAUAAGUGACAUCAAUCUGGAUCUCAAAAACAGCGUGCAAGAAAACCCGCUGCAAAAAGAAAGCCCCAAACGCUUGAAAAAUAAGGAAAAAUGUGUUGCUGCUAUUUUAUUCUUUAAUUCGUAUAGCUAUUAGGGCGAUCUACUGAUUAGCCUAUCUUUAGAAAAUAUUUUGGCAUAUUUCAAUAUUUGCAUAAACAUCGUGCAACGUAUUCUUUGUGCAGACAAUCAUUGCUCCCACACUUGCCCCCUGCUCUUCAAAGGUUAUUACAUAGCUACCAUACAUGGAUCUUGGUAUGCUAGAACCUUCUUGAGCUUACUUCAGUAAAAUUUUGCAAGUACUAAUGUUGCUCGGCACGCUUGACUUCAGUGGUUUCAUUAAUAUGGCAGAAGUGAGAGAGCAGGGCGGGACUCCUUUCGGCAAAGUCAUCAAUAAUCUUAAUAAGCAAAGAAAGCAUGCUGUGCCGGGAACGAGUGUUCAAGAAAAGUUGAAAUGCUUUCGCCUCCUUAUUGUGUCGACACCGAAAGUCUCAUGACGAUGACCUCCAGCCAAUGAUGAUACUCGUAAGCUAGCUGUAACACCUGUCCUAUGCUUCAAACAAGUUACGCGAACCUGAACUUAUAGCCUCUGUUAAAAUGCGUAAUGUACAUUCAGUGUAUUAGAGGAAGGUCGUGAAAACCUUUCAAAAGAGAAUUGUUCUGAGCAGGUUGCCCUGAUGCAUUGAAUGCAGCUGACUUGUGUUGCUUUUAGGAAAUAUUUCAUCUCCCGAAGCUAUGCAUCACUCUGUCCUUGCCCCACCUCUCCUGACGACCAACCGCCGAUUGACACAUGCAUGCUUCUCCUGCAUUUACUGUUUCUCAAGAAAGAACUUAGCGCUAUUUGUUGUUAUUGUCUUGGAACUGUGCCAUUUAUGCCUAGAUGACGGUAGAACAAAGUACAUUACAAAUUUUAAGAAACACCUGCAAUAUGCUCGCGAGGAAUUUCGUAUUGAUACUUUUUUUUCGCAAUGUUACAGAUCUGAAUGAAGCUCUAGUGGUCUUACGUAUUGUAUUGCGAAACAAAGCCAGAUAUGAAAAAAAAAAACUCGGUGCCCUUCCACUCUGUCAAGAAGGAUGACCAGCGAAGUGGUGUAUGUGGGCCCCUUAAUGGCGAACUGCAGCUCCGCCGCGGAUCAGGUCGGCAUUGAACUAUCUUCGGGAUCAGCCCCCGUAUGGGGAGUGUUCAACGCCUGCUUCACCUUCACCGCGGGUCGGGCCGGUAUUGCACUAUCUUCGGGAUCGGCCCGCGUAUGGGGAGUUUUUUUGCUUAUCACGCCAACAACGACACUAAAAUUUCCAUUGACGGCAGAGGUAUACAGCUUCACUGUAAAAAGACUUUAUAGACAUUUUCGGUAUAAUUCGCUGGAUAUUUAUCAGCGCAUGAGCACAAGGAGAGCUAUGCGGAAAAUUGACUAGGUAUAGCAUGUUGGUUUUGGACUAGGAAGUAUACACGUUGUAUGGAAUAAGAAAUAAAGGUUUUAUUACUGGUAUGCGAAAAA